AAGGCUAUACUUUCAGGGAUCAUCUCUAUAGUUUGUUACUAGAGAAAUCUCACGGAUUGUGUAGAGUACCAGAAAGCACGAGGAGGAGGUACAGUGUAAGAGGUACAGUGUAAGAGGUAGGUACAAUGUAAGAGGUACAGUGUAAGAGGUACAGUGUUCUCUCCUGAGCCUGAAGCUGGCACUUGGUGUUUUCUCAGGGCGUCUGCCACUUGCCAUUGAUGAUGGUUCUUCUUCUCCUUUGUGGGAAGUGAGAGGGAGAGGACACAGUCUGA
rnacentral:snoRNA from 1 species